rnacentral:rRNA from 1 species
AAAAAAGCCUCUAGCGAGCUGACACGGUGCCCGUACCCCAAACCAACACAGGUGGGCAGGUAGAGAAUACCAAGGCGAUCGGGAGAACUGUGGUUAAGGAACUCGGCAAAAUGCCUCCGUAACUUCGGGAGAAGGAGGACCCCAUCAGGGUGAAGGACCUCGCGUCCAGAGCUCGAAGGGGUGGCACAGACCAGGGGAAAGCGACUGUUUACUAAAAACACAGCAGCGUGCGAAGUCGAAAGACGAUGUAUACGCUGUGACGCCUGCCCAAUGCCGGAAGGUUAAAGGGAAGGGUUAGUCCGCAAGGACGAAGCUCUGAACUGAAGCCCCGGUGAAUGGCGGCCGUAACUAUAACGGUCCUAAGGUAGCGAAAUUCCUUGUCGGGUAAGUUCCGACCUGCACGAAUGGCGUAACGACUUUCCUACUGUCUCAACCACAGACCCGGCGAAAUUGAAGUACGAGUAAAGAUGCUCGUUAGCUGCAGAAGGACGGAAAGACCCCGUGGACCUUUACUAUAGCUUGAUGUUGGGUUUUGUUAUGUGUUGUGUAGGAUAGGUGGGAGACUGGGAAGCAUUGGCGCUAGUCAGUGUGGAGUCAACGUUGAAAUACCACCCUGCUCAUAACGGAACUCUAACCCACGUCCCUUAUCGGGAUGGGGGACAGCGUCUGGUGGGUAGUUUGACUGGGGCGGUCGCCUCCUAAGAGUAACGGAGGCGCCCAAAGGUUCCCUCAGGCUGGUUGGCAAUCAGCCGUCGAGUGCAAUGGCACAAGGGAGCUUGACUGCGAGACCUACAAGUCAAGCAGGUGCGAAAGCAGGGCAUAGUGAUCCGGCGGUUGCGUGUGGAAGCGCCGUCGCUCAACGGAUAAAAGGUACCCCGGGGAUAACAGGCUCAUCUUCCCCAAGAGUCCAUAUCGACGGGAAGGUUUGGCACCUCGAUGUCGGCUCAUCGCAUCCUGGGGCUGAAGCAGGUCCCAAGGGUUUGGCUGUUCGCCCAUUAAAGCGGUACGCGAGCUGGGUUUAGAACGUCGUGAGACAGUUCGGUCCCUAUCCUCUGUAGCCGGAAGGAACUUGAGAAAAGCUGUCCCUAGUACGAGAGGACCGGGAUGGACGCAGCUCUCGUGUGCCAGUUGUCCUGCCAAGGGCAUGGCUGGUUAGCGACCUGCGGAAGGGAUAAGCGCUGAAAGCAUCUAAGUGCGAAGCCCUUUUCAAGAUGAGGUUCCUCACUGGGUUAACCAGGUAAGGCCUGUGAGAGACGAUCACGUUGAUAGGCCGGAGGUGUAAGCAUGGCAACAUGUUCAGCCGACCGGUACUAAUCGGCCGAGGGCUUGGAUC